rnacentral:rRNA from 1 species
CAGACUGUGGGUGAUAAGAUUCAUAGUCGAAAGGGCAACAGCCCAGAUCGUCAGCUAAGGUCCCUAAAUGUAAGUUAAGUGGUAAAGGAUGUGGGAUUGCACAGACAACCAGGAUGUUGGCUUAGAAGCAGCCACUCAUUCAAAGAGUGCGUAAUAGCUCACUGGUCGAGUGAUCCUGCGCCGAAGAUUUCCGGGGCUAAAACUUACUACCGAAGCUACGGCAUCAGUAAUGAUGGGUAGGGGAGCUUCCCAUACGGGUUGAAGCAUGACCGUAAGGACAUGUGGACAGUAUGGGAGUGAGAAUGUUGGCAUGAGUAGCGAGAUGUGGGUGAGAAUCCCACAGGCCGUAAACCCAAGGUUUCCAGGGGAAGGUUCGUCCGCCCUGGGUUAGUCGGGACCUAAGCUGAGGCCGAAAGGCGUAGGUGAUGGACAACAGGUUGAUAUUCCUGUACUA